AGAGAGGUGGCCGAGUGGUUUAAGGCGCACGCUUGGAAAGCGUGUAUACAGUAAUGUAUCGUGAGUUCGAAUCUCAUCCUCUCUGCAA
rnacentral:tRNA from 1 species